rnacentral:rRNA from 1 species
GAUGAACGCUGGCGGCGUGCCUAAUACAUGCAAGUCGAGCGAACAGACGAGGCGCUUGCUCCUCUGAUGUUAGCGGCGGACGUGUAAGUAACACGUGGAUAACCUACCUAUAAGACUGGGAUAACUUCGGGAAACCGGAGCUAAUACCGGAUAACAUCUUGAACCGCAUGGUUCAACAGUGAAAGACGGUCUUGCUGUCACUUCUAGAUGGAUCCGCGCCGCAUUAGCUAGUUGGUAAGGUAACGGCUUACCAAGGCAACGAUGCGUAGCCGACAGGAGAGGGUGGUCGGCCACACUGGAACGGAGACACGGUACAGAGGCCUAGGGGAGGGAGCAGGAGGGAAUCUGCAGGAAGGGGCGAAAGCCUGACGGAGAAACGCCGAGUGAGUGAAGAAGGUCGUCGGAUCGGAAAACUCGGUUAUUAGGGAAGAACAAAUGUGUAAGUAACUAUGCACGUCUGGACGGUAAAUAAGCAGAAAGCCACGGCUAAAUAAGUG